AUCAGCUGCAAUUCCAUAACCUUGGUUCUUCCUGUUCACAACCUCAGGAGCCAUCCAAAGUGCAGUACCCUUGAAAGACUUGACAUCAUUCAACUUAGUAGCCUUUGCAAGGCCAAAAUCAGCAAGCUUGACUGACCCAUUAGCAUGCACCAAUAUAUUAGCGCAUUUAAUAUCUCUGUGAAGCACAUUUCGGUCAUGCAAAUACUUCAAACCAUGCAAAAUCUGUCUU
rnacentral:misc_RNA from 1 species